CCUACGGGUGGCAGCAGUGAGGAAUAUUGGUCAAUGGGCGGAAGGCUGAACCAGCCAAGCCGCGUGAAGGACGAAGGUGCCAAGGAUUGUAAACUUCUUUUGUCAAGGGACAAAAUCAGGCUCGAGAGCCUGACCGAGGGUACUUGAAGAAAAAGCAUCGGCUAACUCCGUGCCAGCAGCCGCGGUAAUACGGAGGAUGCGAGCGUUAUCCGGAUUUAUUGGGUUUAAAGGGAGCGUAGUUGGGUUGUUAAGUCAGUGGUGAAAGUUUGCGGCUCAACCGUAUACUUGCAGUUGAUACUGGCGGUCUUGAGUACAGUAGAGGUAGGCGGAAUGCGUGGUGUAGCGGUGAAAUGCUUAGAUAUCACGCAGAACUCCGAUUGCGAAGGCAGCUUACU
rnacentral:rRNA from 1 species